AUUCAGGAGUUGUAGCUUCCAGACUGAGAGGAUGCGUUUAUAUUGUUUCAAACUACCAGUUUGUGGUCAUUUGUUACGGUAGUUUUAAGAACUUGAUACACAUAGUAAGAAGAGAUCAUGGAAUCACCUCCAGGGUCCCCCGCAGAGGGAAGGGGUGGCCUCCAGGCGCCUGCACCCCAAGCGUCACUGGCCUCAAUCAGGGGCCGGGCCGGGGUCUCCAAAGUCGCCACAGAACAGGCGCGGGAGCGCCCAGAGGCCACGGUCUCGGGAAAAGUCUCCGCUUCGGCUCCAGUGGGCUGCGACCCGCAAGGUUGCACAGGAAGGAAAUAAAAGAUUUCGGCUGAGAUUACACUCGAAAACACCAGGGAGCCCGGCUUCCACGCGCGGCAUUACUCUUCUGCCCCGAAAACCAGGAGAUUCAAAAGGAAAAGAAGUCCGGCUGUCGGCGGUCGUCAGAGGCUGGGAAGCAGUGCUGCUCACUGUCACCGACUCCUGGCUGGGAGCCCAGGGGCAAGGAGUCUCGUCUGGUGCCUUCUGCAGCCGCAUCAAGGUGGCCGACUGGCAGCUCCAGAGCCUUCAGAACCUUCCAGAGACCACAGAACUUGACCAGGGUGCAGCAUGGUGGAUGGGGGCCCAGAGCAACCCAAGGACAGGAGGCCUCACAGGAGAACGGCUGCAGGCAGAGCCGCGCAGCAGGACUCAGACCUGACUGGGAGGCGAUGGCUUGCACAGUCCUCCUGCCCCCUGCUGGCCAUCCUGUCACUCGCCCCAUGGCCCCCUGGAGGCCAGACGCCUGGAUGCUGGAGCCUGCAACGGAGGGCCUAGGAGGAGGCCAGUGUCGGCACCACACGUGGAAGAUUCUGGAAACUCAACCCCUUGCUGGCCUCACAACAUACAGAGCCCCACACAGCCACCCUCCUUGUUGGCAGUCACCGCGGACCCUGAGGACAGCAGAGGCAGAUGGCCUGGGGGCUCCCGGCCUGCUCUGAGCUGGGGCCUUCCCUGACCUCUCUCACCUCGUGGCCCUCACCUGGACCAGUCAGCAGGCCCUGCUGCAAGACCGGCAAGAGUGCCUGGCUUAGUGCCUCCAGGGCAGGUCCUGAGAGCGGUGCUGGCCUGCCACUGGGGGGCGCUCGCUGGCUGGCAGCCCCACGGCCGCAUCACCGGGAAGCACCUGGAGACGGUCCUCAGCUUCAGCUUGGAGUUUCAAGCUUUCUUCUUUGGUGGAAGCUCAGAGAACUUAGCGACUGGGGGCUUGGCCCAGGAAGCACGGUGGAUUCACACGGCCCAGCUGUCACUCUGUCAUUACCUUCCUGAGUACUCCCAAGGUGAGCCGGGUUACAACCCUGGCCAACAGAGGCAGUGAGCACCUGGACAGGCUGGCUGGGGGUACACAAGUGCAGCGGAGAGAACGCUUGGGGGUGGCCCCAAACCUGCCCAGCCCUCGGCACCGCGGGUGCUCUCAGGACAGACUCCAGCCACCAGAGAGCAAGUGUCCGGAUGCCCUGGAAGCUCCGGGCUGGCGUUGCUCUGGGGGAACCAGUCCUUAGUCCCCACGCAGCUCCAGUUCCCAGAUGCCAGGCCAGUGACACGGUUCCAAAGUGUUCAAAACUUCAACACCUGUUAGGAUGGCUAUUAUCAAGAAAGCAGACAAUAACAGGCGAGGAUGUGGAGAGAUGGGAACCCGGUGCACUGUUGGAGAGAAUGUAAGACGGUGCAGCCACCGUGGAAAACAGUGUGAAGAUCCCUCAAAAGAUUAAACACAGAAUCACCGCUCA